GACGAACCGUGCAAACGUUGUUCGGAUUCACUGGGCUUAAAGGGCGCGUAGGCGGGUGGUCAAGUCAGGGGUGAAAUCUUUCAGCUUAACUGGAAAAUAGCUUCUGAUACUGGCUGUCUUGAGUGGGGUAGGGGCAUGUGGAACUUCCGGUGGAGCGGUGAAAUGCGUAGAUAUCGGAAGGAACGCCGGUGGCGAAAGCGCAUCACUGGACCUCUUCUGACGCUGAGGCGCGAAAGCCAGGGGAGCAACGGG
rnacentral:rRNA from 1 species